AAGUCGUAACAAGGUUUCCGUAGGUGAACCUGCGGAAGGAUCAUUAACGAGUUCUGACUGGGUUAGAGCUGGCCUUUCUGAGGCAUGUGCUCGCCCUGCUCAUCCACUCUACACCUGUGCACUCACUGUGGGUUUCAGACGGUGUUAGCGGGCCUUUACGGGCUCGUGAAGUCGUCUGUGCCUGCGUUUAUUACAAACUCUUACAAGUAUCAGAAUGUGUAUUGCGAUUUAACGCAUUUAAUACAACUUUCAGCAACGGAUCUCUUGGCUCUC
rnacentral:misc_RNA from 1 species